rnacentral:sRNA from 1 species
GUUUCUUUUAGCUUGCUUUAGAAAAAAAGUGUAAAAAAGAAUUUCGAUCAAAAUCCGAACAUAUUUUAAGAGUCAUAGAGGAAAUAGAUGGGCAAAGUUUUGAUUGAUAAAUACGCUUGCAAAAGUGAAGUGAAGAAUUGAGAAACGGGCGACACACAUACCUGGUAGCUAUAUCUAAAUCUGAACCGAUUUCUAAACGUAGUACAAACUAAUUUUGAAGUAUUUUUAAAUUGUUUAAUUUAACUAAAUGACUCUAUUUGCCCUACAUUAAUAAGAAGUAUCUAUGUAAAAUUUCA